rnacentral:tRNA from 1 species
GGGUUCAUAGCUUAGUGGCAAAGCAUUUGACUACAGAUCAAGAGGUCACCAGUUCAAUCCCUGUUGAUCCCU